rnacentral:rRNA from 1 species
UACGUAGGGUGCGAGCGUUGUCCGGAAUUAUUGGGCGUAAAGGGCUCGUAGGCGGUUUGUCGCGUCGGGAGUGAAAACCUCGGGCUUAACUCGGGGCUUGCUUUCGACACGGGCAGACUGGAGGUAUGCAGGGGAGAACGGAAUUCCUGGUGUAGCGGUGAAAUGACGCAGAUAUCAGGAGGAACACCGGUGGCGAAGGCGGUUCUCUGGGCCUGUACUGACGCUGAGGAACGAAAGCGUGGGGAGCGAACAGG